rnacentral:sRNA from 1 species
CGAUGAAUGUGACAUUCAUCACUUCAAACUUCGGUGUUCAGCCAGUAUCAUCAGGAGAGAUAAAACCCUCGCUGCCAUACGGCGAGGGUUUUCUUUUGG